rnacentral:tRNA from 1 species
GGGGCGGUAGCUCAGUGGUCAGAGCAAGGGACUCAUAAUCCCCGGGUCGUGGGUUCGAUCCCCACCCGCCCUA